CCGGAGGUCAUUGCUAUUGGGGUCCGAUUUAGCCAUGCUAGUUGCACGAGUUCAUACUCGUGGCGAAAAGCUCAGUAACACGUGGCCAAACUACCCUACAGAGAACGAUAACCUCGGGAAACUGAGGCUAAUAGUUCAUACGGGAGUCAUGCUGGAAUGCCGACUCCCCGAAACGCUCAGGCGCUGUAGGAUGUGGCUGCGGCCGAUUAGGUAGACGGUGGGGUAACGGCCCACCGUGCCGAUAAUCGGUACGGGUUGUGAGAGCAAGAGCCCGGAGACGGAAUCUGAGACAAGAUUCCGGGCCCUACGGGGCGCAGCAGGCGCGAAACCUUUACACUGCACGCAAGUGCGAUAAGGGGACCCCAAGUGCGAGGGCAUAUAGUCCUCGCUUUUCACGACUGUAAGGCGGUCGUGGAAUAAGAGCUGGGCAAGACCGGUGCCAGCCGCCGCGGUAAUACCGGCAGCUCAAGUGAUGACCGAUAUUAUUGGGCCUAAAGCGUCCGUAGCCGGCCACGAAGGUUCAUCGGGAAAUCCGCCAGCUCAACUGGCGGGCGUCCGGUGAAAACCACGUGGCUUGGGACCGGAAGGCUCGAGGGGUACGUCCGGGGUAGGAGUGAAAUCCCGUAAUCCUGGACGGACCACCGAUGGCGAAAGCACCUCGAGAAGACGGAUCCGACGGUGAGGGACGAAAGCUAGGGUCUCGAACCGGAUUAGAUACCCGGGUAGUCCUAGCUGUAAACGAUGCUCGCUAGGUGUGACACAGGCUACGAGCCUGUGUUGUGCCGUAGGGAAGCCGAGAAGCGAGCCGCCUGGGAAGUACGUCCGCAAGGAUGAAACUAAA
rnacentral:rRNA from 1 species